rnacentral:lncRNA from 1 species
CCAGCAGGAGGAAGAAGAAGAAGAAAAAGAAAAAGAGAAGAAAAAAUUGCUCCGCCUGGCCUUCGCUUUUUUUUUCUGGCGGAAAAAAAAAAGAACGAGGGAACGAAGAGGAGAGAGAAAGAGGAAAGAGAAAAAGUAAUAAGGGUAUUUUAGUCAGUUUGCUGAAAAAGCAAACCGAAUCUGCAAAAACGAAAAAGGUGGCCCGACUUUGCAAAAGCCCAAAAUAAGUGAAUUUUUUAUGCAAAUUGGCCUAUAUAUAUUGAUA